UGGGGAAUUUUGGACAAUGGGCGCAAGCCUGAUCCAGCCAUGCCGCGUGUCUGAAGAAGGCCUUCGGGUUGUAAAGGACUUUUGUCAGGGAGCAAAACUUACUGGUUAAUACCUGGUGAGGUUGAGAGUACCUGAAGAAUAAGCACCGGCUAACUACGUGCCAGCAGCCGCGGUAAUACGUAGGGUGCAAGCGUUAAUCGGAAUUACUGGGCGUAAAGCGUGCGCAGGCGGACUUUUAAGCCAGAUGUGAAAGCCCCGAGCUUAACUUGGGAAUUGCGUUUGGAACUGGGAGUCUAGAGUCUGUCAGAGGGGAUGGAAUUCCACGUGUAGCAGUGAAAUGCGUAGAGAUG
rnacentral:rRNA from 1 species